AUGUUCUCAGCUCAAUCCAAGUCUCGCAUCAACAACUGGCGUAUUGCCCUCUCCAAUGCCCAGAAGGGUUCCCUCAACGCUGCCACCUAUUUUGGGCAGAUGCGGGCGCUGUCUGAUGAACUCGCGACAACAGGAAAACCCAUCGGCAAAGAUGAACUCAUCUCCUUCAUCAUCGCCGGUCUCGACAUGAAAUACCAGCCCAUCAUCUCUGCUCUCGAUGUGCGAACUGAUCCUGUCUCCACCGAUGAGCUCUUUGGCAUGAUCUCCAACUUCGAUCAGCGCGUCGAGCUGUUCCAAGGAACUGGUCCCGGCGCCUUCAAAUCUUCUGCAAACGCCGCCUAUCGAGGUCGCAGGCCUCCCAAAACCUCCCAGAACCCUCCCAAGGGUGGUGGUGGUGGGGGCUAUCGUGGCGGUCCAGGUGGCAGUGGCGGCGCCCACUUCCAGAAUGGCGGUGGCGAUGGCGGCGCUCCCUAUCCGCAUGGUGGUGGCAGUGGUGGUGGCCACUUCCAGCCCGGCGGCGGUGGCGGCGGCGGCCACUACAACCAGCGCGGCAACAACAACUCCCAGGGCCGCAACAAUAACAACAAUCGCCGCCCUUUCCAAGGUUAUGAUGAAUACUUUAACAAGUGCCAAAUUUGCAAGAAAGAUAAUCAUAUUGCGAAGCAUUGUGACUGGCGUUAUGCCGAAAACAAUUCCCAACGCAAGAAGGUUGCAGCCGCCGCAAACACGUCCUAUGGUGUGGACACCAACUAG
rnacentral:rRNA from 1 species